CAGAGGGGAGAGAGACACAGAGGAGGGAAAGACUGAGAGAGAGAGAGGAGUGUCAGCAGGUAGAACAGGUUUGGGCGAGGCGGUCGAGUGAGCUCCACACACGUGAAAAGGAGAGAGAGAGAGAGAUUUGAUUGUUCACUUUGUGACUUUAAACAGAGACGACGACACACAGAAGAAGAAGAAGAAACAAGUGGUGAAGAGAAGAAGAAGACGUGUUUUUCUUCAGAGGAACAGUUUAAAAAGAAGAAGAAGUGAGCUGGUGUAACGCAAGUGUAACCAGAGCUCUCUCGUCCUGACUUCCUGGUGUCCUCUGGUUGGACAGCUGCCUGAUUGGUUGGUUAAUUGAUAAUCUUUAGCCCCACCUUCCUGUGACACCUCGUGAUGUCAAACAUCAAUGUCUCCCUGGAGAACCCGUACGGAGAGGUGACCAUCCCCCGGGCUAAGCUACGCCCAUCAGAUGACGCCACAGUGAUAGCCAAUCCGAUGGCUUUGAGCAAUAACAACAGUAACCCAUAUGGCGUGGCAAGCUCUGCCCCGCCACCAUAUAUGGUGAAGGAAGCAGGGGAGGAGGAGGAGGGGGGGAGGUGCCCUGCCUGCUGCUACCGCUGCAGGAGGAGGAAGUGAUGACACAGCUACAGGAGGACUGUGAUUGGCUCGGAUUUGUUCAUAUCCUGUUUUUUUAAGUUCAUGUUUCCUUCCUACGUCUGAGGAAACAAGGAAGGAAACCAGGAAGGAAAGAAAGAAGGAAAGAAGGAAGGAGAGAAGGAAGGAAGGAAGGAGAUGUUAUGAAGGAAGGAAGCAAGGAGAUAUAUUAAAGAAAGGAAGGAAGGAAGGAGAUAAGGAAUGAGAUGUAUUAAAGAAAGGAAGGAAGGAAGGAAGGAAGGAAGGAGAUAAGGAAGGAAGGCGAUGUAAUGAAGGAAGUCGUAGCGGCCGUUUUGUGUCUCAUCAGGUCAAAAAAUAAAAUCUGUAAUUCCUCUCGAGUUCAGAGGUCGUCCUGAUGUGACAGGAAGUAUGAUGUUACACGUGUUGCAAAAAUAAAGUUUUAGCUCAAAAAAAGUUUAAAAUAUUUAAACAAAUUUUAAAUGGAAUACAUUUUUUGAACAGCUGAUUUGACACAAAGCAGUCCCUGCUGUUAUUUUUUUCUGCUGUUGCCAUGAUGACCGUCAUCAUCAGGGGAGACGGGUUCAAUGAAACAUGUAAAACAAUAAAGUUUAAAUAAAGUUUCUACAAACUGUAAAAA